rnacentral:rRNA from 1 species
GCAGUAGCCGCGGGAAUACGUAGGGUGCAAGCGUUAAUCGGAAUUACUGGGCGUAAAGCGUGCGCAGGCGGUUUUGUAAGACAGAGGUGAAAUCCCCGGGCUCAACCUGGGAACUGCCUUUGUGACUGCAAGGCUAGAGUACGGCAGAGGGGGAUGGAAUUCCGCGUGUAGCAGUGAAAUGCGUAGAUAUGCGGAGGAACACCGAUGGCGAAGGCAAUCCCCUGGGCCUGUACUGACGCUCAUGCACGAAAGCGUGGGGAGCAAACAGGAUUAGAGACCCCCGUAGUCCCUGUCUCUUAUAC